GACGAAGGGCUCAGGUGUUACUCGUUUUGAUUGGGCGUAAAGGGUAAGUAGGCGGCCCACCGACAAAGGCUGAGUUAAAGCGCGGAGAGUUCCUACGCGAGCGCUCGAGUCUUCAGGGUGUGGCUAGUGUUGAUUAGAGGUUGAGGCAAUUCCGUGCGUAAGGGUAAAAUCUAACGAGCUACGGACGAACGCCAGCUGGCAAAGGCGCUUUUCCUGUUUCAACAGACGCUCAGGUACGGAAGCGUAGGGAGCAAACGGG
rnacentral:rRNA from 1 species